CGCGGCCUAUCAGCUUGUUGGUGAGGUAACGGCUCACCAAGGCUUCGACGGGUAGCCGGCCUGAGAGGGCGACCGGCCACACUGGGACUGAGAUACGGCCCAGACUCCUACGGGAGGCAGCAGUGGGGAAUAUUGCACAAUGGGCGCAAGCCUGAUGCAGCAACGCCGCGUGCGGGAUGACGGCCUUCGGGUUGUAAACCGCUUUCAGUUCCGACGAAGCGCAAGUGACGGUAGGAACAGAAGAAGGACCGGCCAACUACGUGCCAGCAGCCGCGGUGAUACGUAGGGUCCGAGCGUUGCCCGGAAUUAUUGGGCGUAAAGGGCUUGUAGGCGGUUUGUCACGUCGGAAGUGAAAACUCAGGGCUUAACCCUGAGCCUGCUUCCGAUACGGGCAAACUAGAGGGAUGCAGGGGAGAAUGGAAUUCCUGGUGGAGCGGUGGAAUGCGCAGAUAUCAGGAGGAACACCGGUGGCGAAGGCGGUUCUCUGGGCAUUUCCUGACGCUGAGAAGCGAAAGCGUGGGGAGCAAACAGGCUUAGAUACCCUGGUAGUCCACGCCGUAAACGGUGGGCACUAGGUGUGGGGAACAUUCCACGUUCUCCGUGCCGAAGCUAACGCAUUAAGUGCCCCGCCUGGGGAGUACGG
rnacentral:rRNA from 1 species